AGGAAAUGGUGCAGCUGUUGCAAGUAGCAAUGGCGUGUGUUUCGACAGUGCCUGAUCAGAGACCGGCAAUGCAGGAGGUGGUGAGGAUGAUUGAGGAUAUCAAUAGGGGAGAGCCCGAUGAUGGGUUACGGCAAUCUUCCGAUGAUCCAUCAAAAGGAUCGGACGGUCAUACGCCUCCUCAGGAAUCCAGGACCCCACCUACAACUGUCACACCGUAGAAAUUCCCCUCUAUAAAAACAAAGGGGUAAAAGUUAAAAAUAAAAAAGAGAGAGAAAAAAAGAAAGGAGACACUGUGGUGGGUCCGACGGUCUCUCCUUAAAAUGUGCACCCAAAGCGUAAGUAACAGUGAUAAAAGUGCGCAUUUGAUUGAGGGAAGCGGUCCAAAAAUGUGUUUGUUUUUAUUUUCUUAAUUUUUUUGGGUUUAUUUUAUCUUAUUUUUUCAAUUUUAAUCUG
rnacentral:misc_RNA from 1 species